CCUCAACCUCCGCCGCUGCCGUCGCCCCUGCCUCGGCCUCCGCGCUCGUCCUCCACUCCGGCUCCAGCUCCGGCAAGGGCUCGCUUAGGCCAUGGUGGGACCGCACCCGCCGGGCGCCCAACCAAGUGACAGGCUUCCUCAACAGAUCCCUCUCGUCGCACUCAUGGAGGGAGACGGACGUCGGGGCGAGCGCCCGGCCGUAGGGCGGCACCGCGGUCCGGAUCAACGGGGGCAGCCACUCCGUGUCCUCGUCCGCCGGCGGCCUCGGCUCAGAGGUGUCGUCGCCGGACUCACUACACGCGCAUGUACAUAGCGCCGCCCGCCGACGCCGCGGCGACUCCCUGCUCCGGAGGUUCUACUGGCUCGGCCGCAGCAGCAGCGUCCACUGCCUGUCGCCCCGCCGGAGCCCCGACACCGGGAUGCUGCACUUCCACCACGCUCCCUCCACCACCACCAGGAGCAAGACCCAAGGGAGGCGUCUCAACCUCUUUGCUGCUCACAGUCACAGACAUCAGCUACAACAACAUUAGCCAUGGGCAGAGAAAUGUUUCUCCUGCUACAAGCUCAAGCACAAUGUGUACUGGUCCUGCUCCUGGUGUAAAGUCCCUCUUCAAUCAGGUUAACCAAAUGUUGCUCUUCCGUUUUGUCGCAACGAUGUUCCAGGUUCACUAGUCUGCCUGUCUGUCUGCCUACCAUAUAGGUAAUCAAUCUUUUGCAGUGCGGACGAGCAAGAUUGAUAGCACUCGACAGCCAAUUCAGACUUUGUUGUCUUCAUCGUGGUUUCCCGAUAUUUCGCUGCUGGCGACGGUGAUCAGGCUGCCAUAUUGGACAGCAUCGCGACCACGGUGUCUGGGGAGUGGAAGGUGCACGCUGAAAUGUGACCCUCAUCGGUAACUUCUAGGUGUUAAUAAUUCGUCCCAUUCUUUGUACUAUGUAUGUUAUACAAUAAACUGCUGGAUUCAGAAACUGAAAUAGAAGCUGAUAAUAGUUGACCCUGUUCGUUUAUUUUUAGGAGUUAUUAUGAC
rnacentral:lncRNA from 1 species